rnacentral:rRNA from 1 species
GACGAACGCUGGCGGCGUGCUUAACACAUGCAAGUCGAACGGAAAGGCCCUGCUUUUGUGGGGUGCUCGAGUGGCGAACGGGUGAGUAACACGUGAGUAACCUGCCCCUGACUUUGGGAUAACUUCAGGAAACUGGGGCUAAUACCGGAUAGGAGCUCCUGCUGCAUGGUGGGGGUUGGAAAGUUUCGGCGGUUGGGGAUGGACUCGCGGCUUAUCAGCUUGUUGGUGGGGUAGUGGCUUACCAAGGCUUUGACGGGUAGCCGGCCUGAGAGGGUGACCGGCCACAUUGGGACUGAGAUACGGCCCAGACUCCUACGGGAGGCAGCAGUGGGGAAUAUUGCACAAUGGGCGGGAGCCUGAUGCAGCAACGCCGCGUGCGGGAUGACGGCCUUCGGGUUGUAAACCGCUUUCGCCUGUGACGAAGCGUGAGUGACGGUAAUGGGUAAAGAAGCACCGGCUAACUACGUG